GCAAGUCGUGCGGUAAGGCCCUUUCGGGGGUACACGAGCGGCGAACGGGUGAGUAACACGUGAGCAACCUGCCCUUCACUUUGGGAUAACCGCCGGAAACGGUGGCUAAUACCGGAUAUGACUGUCCCAUGCAUGUGGGGUGGUGGAAAGCCGUAAGGCGGUGGGGGAUGGGCUCGCGGUCUAUCAGCUUGUUGGUGGGGUGAUGGCCUACCAAGGCUUCGACGGGUAGACGGACUGAGAGGGUGACC
rnacentral:rRNA from 1 species